UUGAAUGGAUGUGGUUAGUAUUUUAUUUAGUUAGUUUAGGUUCAGUUUUUUUAAAAUGUUAACUUCCAUGUGUGAAUACCCCAUAAUGUGCCCGAUCCCCGAAAUGUACGUUUAACAUGAUUAUACUAUAUUACAUUAUGCAAUUCACAAAUAAUGACAUACUACGAUUGUUGGCAUCCAGAUAUUUAUCAUAAUACUACAAUCUAUAAUAUGUAUAUAUCGUAUAUACGUAUAUACAUCAUACUGGCAUAUAUUAACUUAUGCCAAGUAAGCGUGAAAGCAAUAAAAUAACGCAUUACAGGAGACCUUGAUUUUGGCUUGGAGAACAUACAACAUCUGCACUUAUGGUGAGAGUCUUGUUUCCCUUCACGUUCCAAUUCGUAAUACAUAUAUUUCAAUAAUAUUAACAAACUGUCAGGCUUCGAAUAAGGGCAAUGCUAAUGCUACGUACGAUAUAUCCUAUAUGAGUACGUACCUUACUACGUUAAUGAAUAAUGUACAUAGUACAUAUGAAUGUAUGUUUGCAUUCAAAAACAUAUUUGUGUACAUAUAUAGUCGUUUAUGACAAAUGAGAAUGAAAUCAGGAUAAAAUACCUAGGUAUCAUGUAUCCAGUAUGCUAGGAAUCUCGUCAGCCCGGAUAAAUCAGUUCUUAUCAAUGAUAUGUAAGAUCAGCACGAUAUAACUCGCAGUCUAUAGCUUUGCAAGAUGUCGUUAAGCAGGUGUCACCAUACUCAUUCGAUACUCCUGGAUCAAUGAUUUUGAUUAAUUAUCAAGUAAUAAUUAUUUUCAGUAGAUCUAUAAAAAGAUAUUUGUAUUAAUUAAAUUAUCGAUUGAUAAGUAUUUAUACUGUACUACGGUAUGUUUAUUUAGUAAAGAUCAGUAUGACAUGAAACUUGAACUAAUUAUUGCAAAACUAACAAUCGUAUUUCUUGAUAUUAAUAUUCAAUUAUACCUGAUCGAAUGUUAUUACUUAUUACCAAUAGAUCAAUUGAAUCGAGUAUCGCACGGACUCGGCUCGUUAAUUUCUUCUCCUCGCGCAAUCAUCAGGCCUUAAUCGUUUAGUUGAGAGAGAUAACGGUGGAAUUUCAAAAUGGCGUCCCAGCGCAUAUAUAUCAUGUUGCAAGUAGAUGGAUAAUGACGGUUCAGCAUAAUCGCGUCUAGGUGCAUAUAAGUAUACGUAUAUAGAUAGCAAGCGUUAAAAAAAGGUCCGAUGACGUAAAUCUUGUCGAAAUCAGGACCUAUGUAUUUCUGUAUGAUUUAUAGAUUUAUAACAUACGUUACACAGAAAUUCUCGACAAUACGAGAAAUAUUUGACUUAAUUAAUAUAAUUGUCGUUGACACGUCAUUAAGAGACGAUAGGUGGCGACCUUGCUGAUUACUGCUGGAACUUUACGUGCGGCAGCUCUAUGUGUUUCAGAAUCGACAUACCUGUGGGAGGAUCUAUAUAUCUAUGUUCUUAUGUUAAUUAGUCCAUUCGUCUAAUUAAUUAUUAAUUAACGGAUCAGCUAGCUGAGAUUCCCUUAAAUGGCAAGGACUCUUGUGCAGCUCACGUGAUACGCAUUGUAGGACGACUAGGUAUCUUAGAUAUGUGUAUUACGUGAAAUCGAAAGAUUUGACAUUUAGCUAAAUACUGUAACGUAGAUACAAAGUUUAGUGGCGUCCGAACAUAGCAUACUAAUUUUUCUAUGGCCUAAAUUAACAACGGCACGCAUGCUUACGUUUUUGUCAGUAACAACGUAGCGGUCUGGUAUCUACUUUAUAUAUUGACUAAUAAUAUGGAACAAGGACAGUCUAAUUGCCACACGUUAUUUCAUCUGUAAAAUCCUAAGCUGAUUGCUCGAAUCGCCCAGAAUUAAGGACAGUCGAUGGCUGACUGUUUGCACAAGGUUAAUUUAAGACCAAUACACUUUUUCGUUGAAAAGCUAAUACAUAUUAUUUGUACUUACGUAUUACGUGCAUGCGCAUGAUUUAUAAUAUAAUUUUUAUGUUCUAGAACUUAGGGUAAUCAUACAGAAAAUACAUGGUCAUUUAGGACUGUUGUAUCGCCUGAGUUUAGCGUUUCAUUAAUUCCAAUGAAACUGUCUUAAAGUGGUGCAAUAGUCCUGUGUAAUGUAUGUAUAAUUAAUUUUAUGCGUCUACUAAUUUUGUUUUUUAAUCUUAGAACAAUAAUUGUUAUUGUAUCUAUUCGCUGUGCAUAUACAAAUGUAGGUAUAUCUGAGCGAGCACGUGUUCAAAUUUAUAGUCAGUUUGUCUGCGCCAUCUGUACUGCUCACUGUAAGUUCUCGAUGCAUAUUCGUUUUAUAUGUACAUUUCUGUACACGAUCGCUAACGUAAGUAUAACCGUAGUGGUAUAACUGCUUUAGUACGCAUCUAGCUGACAGCGGUAAGCGCCACUAGUCCAACACGGAGUCGAACCAAACUAAAGAAGAAGUACAAGAAAUACAUAGUGGUUGUUGGACAUCUAUAUCGAUUUCUGGAAACUAUUUUCUUAUGGGUUGUUCUAUAAGAAUGUCUAUUCAAUUUGACGCUGAUUUAGAAUCAUGUUUGCAGUAAUUCUUGUUGCUAUUAAAAUUAAUUGUAUCAUAGUUAUUUGUGACGGUACAUCAGUGAAUUUUCGAACUAACUCAAACAGUAGUAAGUACAUUGAUCUAAAAGAGAAUGGCUGGGCUGAAUCUCUAUACAAAUAAUAGUACAGGCUAACAUUUUUUUUGAAAUUAUAUUUAUUUUUUUUGUAAAAUACUAUAGAUAUAAUUAUACCUUAGUUGCACUGAAACAAUAAGAGUCAGUACCACUAUAAUUCCUUUUAGCUACUACUACCAUAAACAAUUAUUGUCUUUUGACAGUUUACAUUAUCAGUAACUUCUUCAUGUACAUUUGCCAUGGCAGAUCGGUACAAUUAUUAUGUCGAUACACAGUGACAAGUAUCGAACGUUAUGUCGUUGAUAGCUGACUGAUAGUUUGUCAUUAUAGUCGCAAAUGCAACGAAGCAGUCAUCAUAAAAAUUCUAUUACGCCGGACCACACCUCCGCGACAAGGUUAGAUUUUUAUCUAUCGUUACAGUAUGCUAACUUACGGAAUACCUCCUUCGUAUCAUUUCACCACACCUAACGCUCGCGAUCUGCAUAUCAUUAGGAUUUGUCGAUUCUGCGUAGUAAAGUGGAUAUAUGCAUGGCUGAGAAUAGCAUCAUAAAGCAUAAACGCGAAUCCGCAUGAAAUGCAGCAAAAUUUCAUAAUUGCUGUAUACAUACAUAAUCGUGCAUGCAAAUCAAUUAUAUAUCAUUGAUCUAAAUUUCAUCACGAUCGAAUAGGAUUGAUGAUUUUUUUAUUAUCUUAUAAGUAUUUAAUGUCACAAUAAUAGUUUGGAUAAUAACGUUUCUCCGUAUAGCGCAUUUUAUUCAACAAGUCUAAAAUCCAUGACGUAUCUAUUAGCUGUGAUGAAAAGUGUAUACGUGGAGUGCGGUCAAUCAUUGCAAUAAGGUACGCAGUCGAGGAACAGGAAUAUGGUUUUAAGAGUAUCCAUCAUGGAUGACGUCACGGCCACGGUGGCGCAAAGGUAGCGGAGUACGUUAGUAAAUUAUGGCCACUUGUUCAGCCCUAUUUUUAGCUCGGACCUGGGUAUUAUUUAUAGCAUAUUUUCCUCAUCUCAAUAAAAACUGUUUCGCGAAUUUUUAGGAUGCGAGGAGAGUGUAUUUUAUCUUAAAAAUUUUUUAUUUAUAAUUUUUUAUUAUACAAUAAACUUCUUGAAAGCUUUUCUAUUAGACAAGGCAGAAAUACAAUUUGAUAUUUUCCUACCCGAAAAGGAGUCUUAUGCCUCAAGGAUGUUGGCACCCUUCCCAUUUUGGAUAUUUUUUUUGUGUCCACAUUCUCAGCUACCCUUAGUGCGUAGUAAGUAUUACUUAACGUCUAGCGUUUUCUCGUACAAUAUUUUCACCAUUCAUUUUAACCCCUUUUGCCGACGUGGUUAACUGGCUGGUCACGUGACUGGCCCACAUCCAUUGCUUUUAACGUGGUUCAACUCAAUGGCGUGGGAUCAAAGUAUAUUUAUGAGUAACAUUGGCGUCACGCUUUUCGUUGUCCAAUCUUCGCCCUUAGAGAAUCAAUUAUACAUUUUAUGAGAAGUAAUAAUACACAGGAUUGCUGACCCCUUAACAGGUGGAACUUUACUUCUUGACAAUUUCUUUUUAAGGACCUCAUUGUUCUCUGGCGUUACUUUGCUUUGCUAAUUCGGACAAUAAUCGCGGCUAACUUCUACUAAUGGAUGGAACAACAGUCACGGUUCGCUACCAGAGCAGUAAUCGGCUUUCGAUUUAAAGAGAUGCUGGGCUUACGUGAAUUACGAUUUGCUGAUUGUGAAUUCAUUUUUGUAUUUUUAUGAUGUUUUGAUAAUGUGACAUUUUUUAAUAAAGGUAAUGAUUUCUGAAAGUACGUGGUAACUUUAUGUUUCUGAUAUUGUACCUACAUAUAUUUGCACUGAUUUAAUUUGAAGGUAACUUAGUUUUGUAGUUUGACUGCACUGGAGUGCAUUUUACCAAAUAUGAAAAAUUGGCAAGAUUUGGUUUGGUUUGGAAAUGACAGUCGUGAAGCAUCUGUGUUUAUUCAACCUGUGUACCUUUAUGUUAGUUGGUUGCUAUUCUACAGGCGUGAAACUCAUUCACAACAUUUCUAUGUCAUAAAAUACAUUAUAAUAUUUAAUAGUAUAUAGUAUACGGUGUUAUAUCGGAAUAAGGUUGAUUUAUUGAUUCAUUAUAAAUAAUAAAGGUUUACAUAUAAUUAUUUUCACAAGAUAUUAGAGCUUAUCAUAUGUGAAUUUUCUUUAUAACGUCCUCUGUACAAACGAUUGUGAAACAAUUCUUCAUUUAGGUAAGCAAUACUUGGUGCUGUACUGUAGAUAUUCGUCAAACUGUAUUUUCUAUUUUAUCGACGAUAUAAAAAUGAUCAGAAGAUGGGGCAAAGUACAACCGUCGGGAAGUCAGCGCGGGAAAAUCAAAAUUGACAUGUCUAUAAUGCCUAAAAAAGUUCCUCCUUAAAUGCUCCUUAUGUUUCCCUAAUUGCUCCGCUGCA